rnacentral:rRNA from 1 species
CCUACGGGUGGCUGCAGUGGGGAAUAUUGGACAAUGGGCGAAAGCCUGAUCCAGCCAUGCCGCGUGUGUGAAGAAGGCCUUCGGGUUGUAAAGCACUUUCAGUGGGGAAGAAAGCCUUGGGGCUAAUACCCUCGAGGAAGGACAUCACCCACAGAAGAAGCACCGGCUAACUCCGUGCCAGCAGCCGCGGUAAUACGGAGGGUGCGAGCGUUAAUCGGAAUUACUGGGCGUAAAGCGCGCGUAGGCGGUCUGAUAAGCCGGUUGUGAAAGCCCCGGGCUCAACCUGGGAACGGCAUCCGGAACUGUCAGGCUAGAGUGCAGGAGAGGAAGGUAGAAUUCCCGGUGUAGCGGUGAAAUGCGUAGAGAUCGGGAGGAAUACCAGUGGCGAAGGCGGCCUUCUGGACUGACACUGACGCUGAGGUGCGAAAGCGUGGGUAGCAAACAGGAUUAGAUACCCGAGUAGUC